UGGGGGGGGGGUGGGGGUGGGGAGGGAGAGAAUUAUUAUAUAUUUUUUAAAAUAAUAAUAAAUAUAUAUCUAUAUGAAUAAAUAAAUGAAAAAAAAACUUUUCCCCUUCCCUCCCCCCCCCCGCCCCCCAUCUCUCUUAC